GACGAACGCUGGCGGCGUGCUUAACACAUGCAAGUCGACCGGAAAGGCCCUGCUUUUGUGGGGUGCUCGAGUGGCGAACGGGUGAGUAACACGUGAGUAACCUGCCCUUGACUUUGGGAUAACUUCAGGAAACUGGGGCUAAUACCGGAUAGGAGCUCCUGCUGCAUGGUGGGGGUUGGAAAGUUUCGGCGGUUGGGGAUGGACUCGCGGCUUAUCAGCUUGUUGGUGGGGUAGUGGCUUACCGAGGCUUUGACGGGUAGCCGGCCUGAGAGGGUGACCGGCCACAUUGGGACUGAGAUACGGCCCAGACUCCUACGGGAGGCAGCAGUGGGGAAUAUUGCACAAUGGGCGGAAGCCUGAUGCAGCAACGCCGCGUGCGGGAUGACGGCCUUCGGGUUGUAAACCGCUUUCGCCUGUGACGAAGCGUGAGUGACGGUAAUGGGUAAAGAAGCACCGGCUAACUACGUG
rnacentral:rRNA from 1 species